rnacentral:lncRNA from 1 species
UGGAAAUCUGCUGUGAAUUUUAACAUUUUCCAUACAAAGAUCGAGUGUUAACCUGCAGUUUGUUUUCCCAUUAGGAAAGACUGAAAUGCUUUCAGGACUUCUCAGCUGUAUAAUGAGGAUCAUCUUGUUUGGGAUAUGACCACGGAGUAACAACAGGGUCAUGCUUUCUCUGUCGGAUUCCUGUCUCAAAGGAGAUCCAGAUGAAUUUCUGUAGCAAAUGCAUGCUCUUCAUACACAUUCCCCUCAACUCAUCUGAGUUUCAUUUCUGUUGUGAGCGUUACAUCACCGUCUCUCGGCAACUAUCCCUGGAGUGCUUGGGAAGGAUAUUCAGUCAUUAAUGGGGAUGAACCCUGUCCCAUGGAAAGUGGCAAAGAGGAAGAUCACUGUUCUGGGUGAGAGCAGCUACUGCAUGUGGAAUCACUUGUCUGCAGAGAAAUGUAUUCUGACACGUUCCCAUUUGCCUUUGCACAACUGCACAGUGGACUUGGUAAUGCAUCUGAGCAGCCUUCUGAUCAGUCUAAAAAGUAGGGUAUCCCUCUCUUCCCAUUUAGAAAUAAAGAACUGCAGAGAUGAAUUCCACCAUCCAAGAAGCAGGUUGGAUAAGAUGGAAGUUGUGUCAGAUGGCUUCAAGGGUGCCUAAGACCAUCAGCAUUAAGUACUACCUGACUGCUGAAAUUCUUGAUAAUUCUCUCAUCUGUAGUCUCUAUUUAGCAACUGGUAGAAGGAUGGGAAAGUCGUGAUUUCCUAAAAGGGCUGUACCAUCUGUCAGUGCUACUCAUCUUUUUUUCAAACUUACUUUGAGUUAUUUUUUCUCUCCUUCUGACAUUCACCAUUCCCAGGCUGGGCUAUAGCCUGGUGAGUGUGCUGUUCAGUACCAAUUAUGAGAUACACAUAACUGUUUAUUUUAAAAUCUGAGGUGUCUCAGAAAAUGAAAUACCACUGGCACAAAUACUGACAACCAGCUUUCCAUGAGGGGAUGUGAAGCAAGGCAGAUAACCAUUACGGCCCUUUCAGGUAUUUCUGCAGGGAGUGCAGAUAGUUUUCAUCUUCAGAAUGACCCCACUGAUCCCAGAGAGCUUCUGUGGAAAAGCAGCAAUAUCUUGAGUUCAUCUGUGUCAAAAGCUGGUGAUAAACCUCAGACUUUUACCAGAGAUAAGAGGAUCAUAUUGCACAGUGGCCUUAAAGCAUGCUAAGAUUUGGAUUCUUGUGAAAGGAGGGCAUUACUAACUCUGGAUUUUUCAUAUUCUUUCUUACUCCAAAAAUGAAGUGAUUGUACAAUGCAGUGAGUAUGAUUCUUUUGUAUUUAAAUGUGAUUCUUUAAUUGAGUAACAUCUGGAUUCAGUCUGUG